rnacentral:lncRNA from 1 species
ACAAACCAUUACCAUUAAGAAGAAGCACAGUGGCUUUGUACUAUGUUAACUUGGCUAGGCUGAACUGUUUUUUUCAGAAUUGCCUUUCUGGAAUGUUUCCAAGUAGGGUGGCCACACGAUAUUUCUUUUUUUUUUUUUUUUUUUUUUUUUUGGGGAUGGAGUCCCAUCUUGUGGCUCAGGCUCGAGUGCAGGGCUUGAUCUUGGCUCACUGCAACCUCCGCCUCCCAGGUUCGAGCAAUUCUCGUGCCUCAGCCUCCUGAGUAGCUGGGACUACAGGUGUGCAUCACCAUGCCUGGCUGAUUUUCGUAUUUUUAGCAGAGACGGGGUUUUGCCAUGUUGGCCAGGCUGGUCUCAAACUCCUGACCUCAAGCAAUCCGCCCUCCUCGGCCUCCCAAGGUGCUGGGAUUACAAGCGUGAGCCACCGCGCCCAGCCACAGAGACAUUUUUGAAGGUGAUUUAGAGGGUGGAAGACAGGCAGCAGCCAUUUGGUUGCUUACCUGCUGGCUGACCUCUUGGGCAUGGGGCAGCAGCUGGGCUUGUACCUCCUCCAACUUCUCCUGAUCCUCUUUCAGUUGCUCUGACUCCUGGCCCAGGUGUGUGUUAAGCUCUGCGAGGCAGGGCACCAGCUUCUCCCACAAGACACCCACAUCAUCAAGGUUGGAGACAGUUCUGCUCUGUCCUUAUAGGUUCCACCUCAUGUUCUUGGACUCUAGCUUGUUCUUGCUCUCCCUGGAGUUUUAUUUCCCUCUUCCUUUCCACCCUGCCUGCCCUGCAGACUUCAAACUCCAGCAUCAGAUGCAAGGUAACAGCCUUACAAAGCAUGCUUAGUCAGCUUCCACAAUUGUGUAAUGUUGAAGCCCUACAGCAAAUCCAUUUAAAGAGAGGGAGAGAGAGAGAGAGAGAGAGAGAGAGAGAGAGAAACAUAUCCUUCUAGCAGGAUCUGCUUCUGCUUUUGAUUGAAGGUCAACUGAUACAAAGGUCUUCAGAGAUACAACUAAAAGUUCAGGAGAAAAUCAUUAUAAAGCAAUGUCAUGUAGUUUAAUGUUCGACUACUUUCCUGGAUUUUGUGGUUUGUGGCCUCACAAGAUCAAGAUCCUCUCUUGCUUCUCUAGAGAAUGUGCUCCAUCAAAAAGAGAGAAUAAACCAAGAAGAGGAAGACAGAGGAUCCGGAAACAGGGAUGAUGGUGCACGGAAGUCCCAGGAUGACAGCUGUGCAUCAGGCCUUCAGCAGCCAGGAUGGGAGCAGAAGGAUGGGGAGCUCUGGGAGUGUCUCCAAGAAAGAAAAAGAAACUGAUCAAAUAUCUAAUUUUUAAAACAUAUUGAGGGGAAAUUUAUACUUCUGCAAUAAAUUUUAGGAUAUCGUAAUAGAAACUAAGAAAAUAACAAAUAAAAAAACAAAAAAACAAAAAACAAGGUAAUUAUCAACCGCGGGAGAAGAAAGGUUGUAUGAGAAAAGAAAUAAAAACAGAAUUCAGUACAUGGAUCAGCUGUGAACUGUGUUUGCAUAAUUAUUAUAAUGUAAACAUUGGAACAAUCAUUUCAGCAAAAGUUGCAAUUUAAUCAUAUUGGAAGGAUGAAAGGAAAGUUGAGUGUGUUUGUGUCUUUGUGAAAGAACGAAUUUAUUCAACCUCCAUAGGAAGUCAAUAGGUGAUACAUAAAAUUGAAAAAAUAACAGGAAAGCAUGUUAUUUUUUAAUAUGGUAGGAAACAGCAGAAAAAACUGAAAAAGUUCAAAGUGGAAGGGAAAGCACUAGGAACUGGAAUCAGAGAUAAAGUAUGGGACUGUUUUCUCAUUAUAAACCUUAGAGAAUUAUUAAUUAAAAAUGAAUUCUAACACUAGAAAAAGAUAUAUUAGGAAUAUAUUUUUAAAAAGAAAGUGGGAGUGAGAAUAUUAAUAUUAGAAAAAUAAAUUCAGGACCGGGUGUGGUGGCUUAGGCCUGUAAUCCCAGCACUUUGGGAGACUGAGGCGGGAGGAUCACUUGAGUCUGGGAGUUCAAGACCAGCCUGGACAACAUGGUGAAACCUCAUCUCUACAAAAACCGCAACAAAAUUUAGCCAGGCAUGGUGGUGCAUGUCUGUACUUCUAACUACUUGAGAGGUUGAGGCAGGAGGAUCAAAUGAGCCUGGGAGGCAGAGGUUGUAGUGAGCUGAGAUUAUGC